rnacentral:rRNA from 1 species
GACAGAGGCCUCGAGCGUUAGGCGGAAUCACUGGGCUUAAAGCGUGUGUAGGCGGAUCGUUAAGUACCUUGUGAAAUCCCACGGCUCAACCGUGGAACGGCUGGGUAUACUGGCGGUCUUGGGCCAUUCAGGGGCGACUGGAACAAGCGGUGGAGCGGUGAAAUGCGUAGAUAUCGUUUGGAACGCCAAUGGUGAAAACAGACAGCUGGGAGUGUGCUGACGCUGAGACACGAAAGCCAGGGGAGCGAACGGG